UACAGAGGAGCCAAGCGUUGUCCGGAUUGACUGGGCGUAAAGCGCACGCAGGCGGACGCGCGCGUGGGGUGUGAAAUCUGGCCGCUUAACGGCCAGGCGCCAUCCCAUACGGCGCGUCUGGAGUGAUGCAGAGGUCGGUGGAAUUGCCGGUGUAGUGGUGAAAUGCGUAGAGAUCGGCAGGGAACACCCAGGGGGAAACCAGCCGACUGGGCAUCUACUGACGCUGAGGUGCGAGAGCGUGGGGGAGCGAACCG
rnacentral:rRNA from 1 species